AAUAUUGGACAAUGGGGGCAACCCUGAUCCAGCCAUGCCGCGUGUGUGAAGAAGGUCNNNGGAUUNUNAAGCACUUUAAGUUGNGANNAAGGGCUUUAGGCUAUUACCCUGAAGUUUUGACGUUACCAACAGAAUAAGCACCGGCCAACUCUGUGCCAUCAGCCGCGGUAAUACAGAGGGUGCAAGCGUUAACCGGAAUUACUGGGGGUAAAUCGCGCGUAGGUAGUUCAGUAAGAUGGGUGUGAAAUCCCCGGGCUUAACCUGGGAACUGCUUUCAUAACUGCUGAGCUAGAGUACGGUAGAGGGUAGUGGAAUUUCCUGUGUAGCGGUGAAAUGCGUAGAUAUAGGAAGGAACACCAGUGGCGAAGGCGACUACCUGGACUGAUACUGACACUGAGGUGCGAAAGCGUGGGGAGCAAACA
rnacentral:rRNA from 1 species